rnacentral:rRNA from 1 species
UGGCGGACGGGUGAGUAACGCGUGGGUAACCUGCCUUGUACUGGGGGACAACAGUUAGAAAUGACUGCUAAUACCGCAUAAGCCCACGACCCGGCAUCGGGAAGAGGGAAAAGGAGCAAUCCGCUUUGAGAUGGCCUCGCGUCCGAUUAGCUAGUUGGUGAGGUAACGGCCCACCAAGGCGACGAUCGGUAGCCGGACUGAGAGGUUGAACGGCCACAUUGGGACUGAGACACGGCCCAG